rnacentral:rRNA from 1 species
UACGUAGGGGGCUAGCGUUGCCCGGAAUCAUUGGGCGUAAAGCGCGUGUAGGCGGUUCGGUAAGUCCGCUGUGAAAGUCGGGGGCUCAACCCUCGAAUGCCGGUGGAUACUGUCGAACUAGAGUGCGGAAGAGGCGAGUGGAAUUCCUGGUGUAGCGGUGAAAUGCGCAGAUAUCAGGAGGAACACCAAUUGCGAAGGCAGCUCGCUGGGACGUAACUGACGCUGAGACGCGAAAGCGUGGGGAGCAAACAGG